ACAAGGCCUCCCACCUCCCUCACCUGACAUUCAGGCUUCCGAGCACCGGGAUGCAGGAUCCAUUGCUCCUGGAGGACCUGGCUGUGUAUUUCUGUCAGGAGGAGUAUGUGAGCCUACACCCUGCCCAAAGGCCUUCCCGCAGUGAUCCCAUGCAGACGGGCUUGGAGGAUGUGGCAUCUUGGAGAGAGGCAGGCAGGACUGAGGGAAACCAGAAGGUCAGCCAGGAUUUCCUGGAAGUGGAGGAGCUUGCUCUAGGAAAAUGCCCUAUGGCUGUACCCACUGUGUUUAAACCAGAGAUUUCUUCUGAGAAUGAAGAGGGACACCCCGGAAAGAAGAAAUCUGGAGGCACUUCUGCUCAAGAGAUGAAGAUGAUAAACCUUCUGGUGACCAUUGAAAAUCACUUACCUUUAGUAGAGCUGUCACAGUGCCUAGAGAUCAGGGCAUUCUCUGAAAUUUUGGAAGAAGCCACAGAGUUGUCUACAUGUCCGGAAUAUGACAAGAGCUUCAAUGACAAAUCAUGCCUUGUUUUACAUGAGAAAAUCCACCCAGGAGGGAAGCAACAGAGGUGUGGGCAUUGAGAAAAGACUGUAGAAAAACAGGUCCCUCACCUGCUUCAGAAUGACUGCUUCAGCAGCAUACCCCUCUGUCUCAGCUUACAGACAACCCAUCAAGGGCAAAACUCUAUGAGGUUGGCAGGUGUGGGUGAGGCUUUCUGUGUCUCCUAUGAUUGGCUCGGCACACUUGUUGCCCACUGUGAUUUUGGAAGAUUAUGCCAAGGCUCCAUAAGAGAUUAGGAAAAAAUAAUACAUUUUACAAAAAAAUUUAAUAUAUAUUCUGAUAAAAUGCCUUUUCCUUGUGCCAUUGUUUAUAGUUAGUAGGCAAGGAAAAAAGUAAAACAAAACCCUGGGUGUUGGUUAUUGGGACAGAGGCAUAUUUUUAGGUGUUGCCUUAUUGUGCACUUAACCAAAAACAUUUGGCAAAUGUAAUUCAAGAUGCCUUGAGCUGAAGAAGUGGCAGAGAAUGUUGCCAGUGAGUUCCAUGUUAUCCAGGAAGUUUGAUUCUACACUACGCGGCACAGCUCAGGAAGACAAUGCACAAGAUUGGCUUUCAGGUUGGCAGCUAUAUACAACUAACACUUUCUGGAUCAAAAUUAAGACUGAAAAUAGAAAUACAGGGGCUUCAUUGCUAACAACUGUUGGGUGAUUGUUAUGCUGCAUGGAUGGACACAUCACAGAGGAAGACUCCUAUCAACAGACAGCUUGGUUUUAUUGAUGAAGUGAUAAAAAUGUGUAUCCAGUCCUAACAGGAAAGCCAGAAAUAGGAGGGUGUGUAACAGUCAUCACUGAAAACAGCUUUGUUCCAAAUGCUAAUAGUUUACAUUUGUAAUUUUAGAAGUGGUGAAAUAUUCACAUUCUCAAAAGAGCUGGUCCCAAAAUAAUAAUAGAUAAGAGUCUACCUGUGUCUCCCCGAUUUAGCUGAAAAAAUUACUAACCCAGUAAUUUAGGG